UCUAUCACUGUGCCAUCACCUCAGGGGCAAGAAGAAUGGAAGGAGACUCUAAUCUUCUGGUCGGAGUGGUGAAGAAAUGAUUACCUUCUUUGGGUGCUGAGUGACAGGAGCUGUCAUGGAAGAAGUGCCAAUUUGGAUGUGUAACGAGAAGACCCGAGUCCUGACUCAGUCACUUACUGUGUGACCAGAGACAAACUAGGACUUGUCUAAAGCCAAAUCAUUCUGCUGGGCCAACCAGGAUGUAAGUGUUAAGGGAAGAAAAUACUUCUUGAGCCUCACAGAAUGAUGCAAAUUACUUUCGUCCAUGUCCUUCCAUAAAUUCAUCACAGGGGAUCCAUUCAACAGUCUGAAGGCCUUCCUUGUUUUCUUCUGAUGAUAUGAGGGUAACAUACUAGAGCACCGUUUUCCAGAUCUGUGCAAAAUCCUGUAAUCCCCUGCUUUUACCACACGACCAGGCCAUCUUCUCUUCCUAUCUAUCAUUUCCUAUUCCUACCAAACUAAACCAAGUAAACUGAUUUUUACUUA